rnacentral:rRNA from 1 species
AUUGAACGCUGGCGGCAUGCCUUACACAUGCAAGUCGAACGGCAGCACGGGAGCAAUCCUGGUGGCGAGUGGCGAACGGGUGAGUAAUAUAUCGGAACGUGCCCGGUCGUGGGGGAUAACGUAGCGAAAGCUACGCUAAUACCGCAUACGAUCUACGGAUGAAAGCGGGGGAUCGCAAGACCUCGCGCGAUUGGAGCGGCCGAUAUCAGAUUAGGUAGUUGGUGAGGUAAAGGCUCACCAAGCCGACGAUCUGUAGCUGGUCUGAGAGGACGACCAGCCACACUGGGACUGAGACACGGCCCAGACUCCUCCGGGAGGCAGCAGUGGGAAUUUUGGACAAUGGGCGCAAGCCUGAUCCAGCAAUGCCGCGUGCAGGAUGAAGGCCUUCGGGUUGUAAACUGCUUUGUACGGAACGAAACGGUGAGCUCUAAUACAGUUUGCUAAUGACGGUACCGUAAGAAUAAGCACCGGCUAACUACGUG